rnacentral:rRNA from 1 species
GGACCCGCACAAGUAGCGGAGCAUGUGGUUUAAUUCGAAGCAACGCGAAGAACCUUACCUAAGCUUGACAUCCCAAUGACAUCUCCUUAAUCGGAGAGUUCCUUUCGGGGACAUUGGUGACAGGUGGUGCAUGGUUGUCGUCAGCUCGUGUCGUGAGAUGUUGGGUUAAGUCCCGCAACGAGCGCAACCCUUGUCUUUAGUUGCC